GAUGAACGCUGGCGGCAUGUCUAAGGCAUGCAAGUUGAACGAUUCACCUUCCUUCGGGAAGACUGGAAAGUGGCAAACGGGAGAGUAACACAUUGGUAACCUACCUCGAACUCGUGAAUAGCUUGUGGAAACGCAAAGUAAUACACGAUAUUGUCCCGCAUUUAUUUGCGGGAUGAAAGAUUUAUCGGUUCGAGAGGGGCCUAUGUUCUAUCAGCUUGUUGGUGAGGUAAAAGCUCACCAAGGCUACGACGGAUACCGGGCGUGAGAGCGUGGCCCGGCUCACUGGGACUGAGACACGGCCCAGACACCUACGGGUGGCUGCAGUCAAGAAUCUUCCGCAAUGCACGAAAGUGUGACGGAGCAAUGCCGCGUGGUGGAUGAAGGCCCUCGGGUCGUAAACACCUUUUAUAAGGGACGAACAAAUGACGGUACCUUAUGAAUAAGGGGCUGCUAAUCACG
rnacentral:rRNA from 1 species